UGGGGAAUAUUGGGCAAUGGGCGCAAGCCUGACCCAGCCACGCCGCGUGAGCGAUGAAGGCCUUCGGGUUGUAAAGCUCUGUGGGGAGGGGCGAAAGGCGGCGGAGCGAAUAGUGAGCCGUUUGACGGUACCUCCUUAGCAAGCACCGGCUAACUCUGUGCCAGCAGCCGCGGUAAGACAGAGGGUGCAAACGUUGCUCGGAUUUACUGGGCGUAAAGCGCGUGUAGGCGGGAAGCGAAGUCGGGUGUGAAAUCCCUGGGCUCAACCUAGGAACGGCAUCCGAAACUUUCUUUCUGGAGUCAUGGAGAGGAGAGCGGAAUUCCCGGUGUAGAGGUGAAAUUCGUAGAUAUCGGGAGGAACACCAGUGGCGAAGGCGGCUCUCUGGCCAUGUACUGACGCU
rnacentral:rRNA from 1 species